rnacentral:rRNA from 1 species
AGAGUUUGAUCCUGGCUCAGAUUGAACGCUGGCGGCAUGCCUUACACAUGCAAGUCGAACGCGAAAGUGGGGGCAACCCUGCGAGUAGAGUGGCGAACGGGUGAGUAAUACAUCGGAACGUACCCAGGAGUGGGGGACAACCUCGAGAAAUCGAGGCUAAUACCGCAUACGUCCUGAGGGAGAAAGCGGGGGAUUCGCAAGGACCUCGCGCUCAUGGAGCGGCCGAUGUCGGAUUAGCUAGUUGGUGGGGUAAAAGCCUACCAAGGCUACGAUCCGUAGCUGGUUUGAGAGAACGACCAGCCACACUGGGACUGAGACACGGCCCAGACUCCUACGGGAGGCAGCAGUGGGGAAUUUUGGACAAUGGGGGCAACCCUGAUCCAGCCAUGCCGCGUGAGUGAAGAAGGCCUUCGGGUUGUAAAGCUCUUUCGGCCGGAACGAAAUCGCGUACGUGAAUAACGUGCGUGGAUGACGGUACUGGAAGAAGAAGCACCGGCUAACUACGUGCCAGCAGCCGCGGUAAUACGUAGGGUGCGAGCGUUAAUCGGAAUUACUGGGCGUAAAGCGUGCGUAGGCGGUUCUGCAAGUCAGAUGUGAAAUCCCCGGGCUUAACCUGGGAACUGCGUUUGAAACUACGGAGCUAGAGUACGGCAGAGGGGGGUGGAAUUCCA